GUUUGGGCACCACUACUUGAGAGAAAUAAAGAAGCUCGAAGAUGGCACCAAAAACCCUUUCCAUAUUUCACCGCACUGCAGGAGAUUUAUGAGGAUAUGCAGAAGGAAGACGCUCUCGUGAUAUAGAUUAUUAUGCAAAUGUAUCAAUGGACACUCCAUCUCCAAGCAUUCCGGCUCCAAAUGAUCACAUCCAAUCAUUGUCUACACCCGAAAUAGAGACAGAGGAUCCUGAUUUUACACAAGUGGAGCCUCCAUGCAGUCAACCAAAUAUUUCACAACCCCAAAACUCAUGUAGUGCAAGUCGACAAAGGGUAGGAGAUGAAGUACAAAGAAGGAAAAAGGAACGAAAGCGAAAAAAUGUUCAAGAGUCAUUCUUAGAACAAUAUAUAGAUAUGCGUCGAGUUGAGACGGACAGAUAUAUUGAUGCUAUGAAAAUGAACCGGGUAGAGGAGAAGUACACCAUAGGAGAAUGCAUGGCGGCAUUUAAUGUAUUGUGUGAUCAAUUUCCAGAUGAAGAUUUUGUUAAAAUUACAACAUUGUUUAAAGAUAAGGACAAUCGUGAAAUCUUCUUGAGUCUCAUCAAUGAAGAAAGGAAACUGUUGUGGCUUAGGCUAAUGAUUAAUUAAAAACAAUGUGAUGUUCUAUGUUUUUUUAUAUUUAGUUACAUGUAAACCGUUCUGG